AAGGUUGUAUUUAUUUAAGAUUAUCUUGUUCAAGGUAUGUUCAAGGUUACAUAGGUAGCCGGUCGCAGAGUUGUGGAUUCAGACCAAAGCAGACUGACUCUGUGUUCUUCCCUAUCUUCCUUGAGGACUCUGUCUUUAUCUCCAUAGAGACAGAGGUAGUCCUGCCGUCACAGUGGCCAUUAUGACAUGUAGGCCUUCAGGCAUUGCUUUAGAAACUGGUCCACUCAUAAUUUACCCCAGAACUCUUUUACUCCAUGAAGACGCAGUUAGCGUCCAUAGGAGGCAGCAACAUGAUAGAGUGGGGUUCCAGUCUUACCCACCAACCCCCAGUACCAUCUGACCCAUCACGUCUGUGCUCUCUUAUGUAAUUACGUAUAUUCCAGGUGGAGCCAAAUCUCUCUUUAGUGUCUUGUCUUCCACAAUAUACAUAAAACAAUGAUCUGAAAGUCAACCAAAUGCUGUCUUUCAAAAGGCCCUCUGAACAGACACAACAUUGCGCAGUGCUAAAGAGGAAGAGUUUAGAUGUUUUAAGCAGAGAGAGCCAGAGAGCAAGACAGAGUCAGGGAUAGAGAAAGAGAGAGAUGGGUGACAGAGUGGGACACUCUCAUUUGAAAGUCAGCUGGAAUAUAGAUGCCAGGUGUCUAUAUCCCAAGGGACUUGGGAGCCACCCAGGAGAACCAUUGACCUGAGGGCAGAAGGAACCAGGCGAGAUGCUUGUCAGUAACAAAAUUUGGUCACUAGUUGGGAAGAUGAAAUGACCAUUGUGAGUAUGGCCUGGUACAUUCAGGAGGCUGUGAGUAGAAAUUUAAAGAAGUCUUCAUAUAGUCUGCAACACUAUAGCAUAAGCAACACUGCUUGAUUAGUCACUCGUAGAGACAAAAAAAAGGCAUUCUUCCUCAUUUCUCUAUUUCCCGGGCAUUUAGCAUUCCUGAGUUCAUUGUGUUCCCCUGACCAAAGUAGUCGGUUCAUGGAUGACCACACAAUGCAACUGGAGCCAUUACUUGGUCUUUUGUAAAAGCAACUGGUAGGGAGGGGAGCUUAUGACCUCAGGGAUUUAAAUCUGGGAGAAGAUAGCCUUUUAUUGCUGUGGCCCUCUUUUCAUCACAGGGCCUCUGCAAAUGAAGCCAUUGUGAAGGACGGCAGACCUGAGAGAGACCUCAUUUGAGCCUCUGGAUUAAUAUCCCUCCUUGCGUCAACCAGUGUGAUGUGGAUUUUCUGACCUUUGCUACCAAAGUGUUCACAGUGGGGCCGAUAGUGAUGGAUUGGGUCAUUUUUUAAGUUAGAUUUUGCAGGGAAAACCUCUCUAAGCAUCUGGAAGUCUGUGGAUCAAGCUUUUCCUAAAAUUGUGAGACAGUCAACUGAUCACACUGCUUCUUUGUCUCCAGCCACUCAGUAUUUGAGGUGUAGCAUUUGCUCCUGUAAACUCCCAGGGCUAAGUUGUGCGGGAGCUUACAGAUGUGUUUUGCACUUAUGCACACUUCAUUUGUCUUCCUCCUAUGAGGAGUUGGUGGCUUACUGUGGGAACAGCUGAAUCCUCUCUCGAGCCAUAGUCCUGAGGUUCCUUUGCGUUCCAUGAUCUUCUGUUUUUGCCUUUUCCCGAUGAAACCAGGAAACACUGGAGAGCUACUUAGAAGGAUUGUGGAAGUGUGUACCUUCUAAAGCUGCGCCUCUCCUGCUUUGUGUCAUACAUCCUACAUAUCCAGAAAUAUAAUUAAUUGAUUGCCCAGGUGGUCCCUACAUCCAGUGACAAGUUUCUUAUAAGACACAAACGAGAAGACACAGGACAGAAGGCCAUGUGACAACAGAGGCAGAGACUGGAAUGAUGGGGCCACAAGCCAAAGAACACCUGGAGCCACCAGAAGCCAGA